GAUGAACGCUGGCGGCGUGCCUAAUACAUGCAAGUCGAGCGAACGGACGAGAAGCUUGCUUCUCUGAGGUUAGCGGCGGACGGGUGAGUAACACGUGGAUAACCUACCUAUAAUACGGGGAGAACUUCGGGAAACCGGAUCUAAUACCGGAUGAUAUUUUGAACCGCAUGGUUCAAAAGUGAAAGACGGUCUUGCUGUCACUUAUAGAUGGAGCCGCGCUGCAUUAGCUAGUUGGUAAGGUAACGGCUUACCAAGGCAACAAUGCAUAGCCGACCUGAGAGGGUGAUCGGCCACACUGGAACUGAGACACGGUCCAGACUCCUACGGGAGGCAGCAGUAGGGAAUCUUCCGCAAUGGGCGAAAGCCUGACGGAGCCAUGCCGCGUGAGUGAUGAAGGCCUUCGGAUCGUAAAGCUCUGUUAUUAGGGAAGAACAUAUGUGUAAGUAACUGUGGACAUCUUGACGGUACCUAAUCAGAAAGCAACGGCUAACUACGUG
rnacentral:rRNA from 1 species